CAACCGUUGGAAACGACGGCUAAUACCGCAUAAUCUCUACGGAGCAAAGGGNGCUUUUAGCUCUCGCCUUUAGAUUGGCCCAAGUGGGAUUAGCUAGUUGGUGAGGUAAUGGCUCACCAAGGCGACGAUCCCUAGCUGGUUUGAGAGGAUGAUCAGCCACACUGGAACUGAGACACGGUCCAGACUCCUACGGGAGGCAGCAGUGGGGAAUAUUGCACAAUGGGCGCAAGCCUGAUGCAGCCAUGCCGCGUGUGUGAAGAAGGCCUUCGGGUUGUAAAGCACUUUCAGUCAGGAGGAAAGGUUAGUAGUUAAUACCUGCUAGCUGUGACGUUACUGACAGAAGAAGCACCGGCUAACUCCGUGCCAGCAGCCGCGGUAAUACGGAGGGUGCGAGCGUUAAUCGGAAUUACUGGGCGUAAAGCGUACGCAGGCGGUUUGUUAAGCGAGAUGUGAAAGCCCCGGGCUCAACCUGGGAACAGCAUUUCGAACUGGCAAGCUAGAGUGUGAUAGAGGGUGGUAGAAUUUCAGGUGUAGCGGUGAAAUGCGUAGAGAUCUGAAGGAAUACCGAUGGCGAAGGCAGCCACCUGGGUCAACACUGACGCUCAUGUACGAAAGCGUGGGGAGCAAACA
rnacentral:rRNA from 1 species